rnacentral:rRNA from 1 species
AGCAGCCGCGGUAAUUCCAGCUCCAAUAGCGUAUAUUAAAGUUGCUGCAGUUAAAAAGCUCGUAGUUGAAUUUCGGGACUAAUAUGUYGGUCGUGCCUCGGUACGUACUGRUAUUUUUGGUUUCUCCCUUCUGACGAACCUUGAUGUCAUUAAUUUGGUGUCUUGGGAAAUCAGGACUGUUACUUUGAAAAAAUUAGAGUGUUUAAAGCAGGCUCACGCUUGAAUACAUUAGCAUGGAAUAAUGAAAUAGGACGUUUGAUUCUAUUUUGUUGGUUUCUAGGAUCGACGUAAUGAUUAAUAGGGAUAGUUGGGGGCAUUAGUAUUCAAUUGUCAGAGGUGAAAUUCUUGGAUUUAUUGAAGACUAACUACUGCGAAAGCAUUUGCCAAGGAUGUUUUCAUUAAUCAAGAACGAAAGUUAGGGGAUCGAAGACGAUCAGAUACCGUCGUAGUCUUAACCAUAAACUAUGCCGACUAGGGAUCGGA